rnacentral:misc_RNA from 1 species
GAAAUGCGAUAAGUAAUGUGAAUUGCAGAAUUCAGUGAAUCAUCGAAUCUUUGAACGCACCUUGCGCUCCUUGGUAUUCCGAGGAGCAUGCCUGUUUGAGUGUCAUGGAAUUCUCAACUUAUAAAUCCUUGUGAUCUAUAAGCUUGGACUUGGAGGCUUGCUGGCCCUUGCGGUCGGCUCCUCUUGAAUGCAUUAGCUUGAUUCCGUACGGAUCGGCUCUCAGUGUGAUAAUUGUCUACGCUGUGACCGUGAAGUGUUUUGGCAAGCUUCUAACCGUCCAUUAGGACAACUUUUUAACGUCUGACCUCAAAUCAGGUAGGACUACCCGCUGAACUUAAGC